rnacentral:miRNA from 1 species
UUUUCCCGUCACCCCGGCGAAGGCCGGGGUCCAUCUCUCCACCUGCGCCUGCCGCGCGAUGGAUCCCGGCCUUCGCCGGGAUGACGAUCUAU